AUGCAGCUCUGGACCCUGGAGGGCGCGAAGGACGCGCUGGGCGACGCGGUCAUCAUCGACCGUCUCGACAGCCGUACGUUCGAGCGCGCGGACACGAAGCUGUUCGCCGUCUGGGUGUGGGUGUGGCAGCUGCACCACAUCCCCACCAAGCGAACCCUGUGGAAGCACGCCAGAGGUGCCGGCCGGGUGGAGGAGAUGAUCGGCUUCUCGCCCCCUAGCCGGGCUGUCGCGCCGCCGCCGAACCUGCUGCGCUGGGAUGUGCUGGUGCACAUUGACCGGGUCGAAGACUGG
rnacentral:rRNA from 1 species